CCGACCUUAGCUCAGUUGGUAGAGUGGAGGACUGUAGUUUGAUCGCUGAAAUCCUUAGGUCACUGGUUCGAAUCCGGCAGGUCGGA
rnacentral:tRNA from 1 species